rnacentral:rRNA from 1 species
UACAGAGGUCUCAAGCGUUGUUCGGAAUUACUGGGCGUAAAGGGCUCGUAGGUGGCCAACUAAGUCAGACGUGAAAUCCCUCGGCUUAACCGGGGAACUGCGUCUGAUACUGGAUGGCUUGAGUUCGGGAGAGGGAUGCGGAAUUCCAGGUGUAGCGGUGAAAUGCGUAGAUAUCUGGAGGAACACCGGUGGCGAAGGCGGCAUCCUGGACCGACACUGACGCUGAGGAGCGAAAGCCAGGGGAGCAAACGGG